AAGCUUUCUCUAGAAGACAAAAGACAGGGAGACAAGAAAGCUGUCUUCCGAGGCCUGAGGGCUGUCACAAAGCAGACAGAUUCAUGUUAUCUCUGUGGCCACGAGAGGUAAAGGCAGCACAGGGAGACCUCAGAGCAUUUCAGCCCUAGAAGGAAGCCGCACAGAAGUGAGUCUGUAGGUGUUAGAAGGCAGCUGUGCUACACUAACUUUCAGAUCCCUCCAACCUACCAUCCUUGAGGUUCUUACGAAUGUUGAAGUAAUCUCGAUUCUCG
rnacentral:lncRNA from 10 species